AUUUGCUUGCUUCAGCCUGUCAGAGACCUGUCAUUACAGAGAUUGAUGAAAUGUGUCUGCACUGUUUCCCAUUUGACAUCUCGAGAUGAAAAAGACGGCCAUGCAUUAUGAGAAUGCUAUAUUGACUGUUUUGGUUUGGAUCUUAAAUGUCCCCAGAGACCACAUAAUAAAGGCACGGCCCUUUUUACUUUUUA